rnacentral:lncRNA from 1 species
CCAGCCCAGCGAUCAUGUCUUCUGCCAACACACAAUAACUUGGUGUAGAAAAUAACCAUUUGUUGAUCUCUUGCGAAUUCAAGGUUUCAACAUUACAAAAUAAAUGAGGCCAAGCGGCACAUACGAUGCGGCUGCACUUAUCUACAUUAUUUAGUAGACAUCUCAUGGGCCUAUAUGAUACGAAAUGUAACUACGCGACAUCGGAAUAACGCGGUAGUGGAACUCCACUCCACAAGGACACUUCUGGGACACGAUACUAGAUAACGCCAAACUGAUUGACAUCGAUGCCUUGCAUGACUUCUCGUGCAUCUGUCAUGAUAAGCGAGGUAAGUACUUUGAAUGUACUCGCAAGCUCACAACAAACAAAGAAAAUAUGACAAACAAUAACAAGACAUUUAACAGAUUAAUGCGAAAUAUGAAAAUGAUGCCUUCAUGAAGUGUAUGUGAAAUAAAUCAUGGUCACGAGGACCAGGUUACCAUCUCGGGUUACCUCGUAACCACCGCCAACAACUUUCAACCUUGAUCCUCAUUGCUCACCUUGUGCCAUCUUAGUGUAACUUAACUGUGUCGGUUAUUUAUUACUAUUGACCCACAAUGUGACCUACUAUGAACUGUGUCCAUGACCGAGGACGCGGCUAUCGAUAGAUUAUACACUCUUGAGAGGUUAGUACACUGUACCCAUACCAAGGAACUCAUGGAUUCGUGCUCCCAUUCGGGUGGAACAAUGACAUUCUGUCAAAACCAAUCUAUUGCAACACUCUCUCGGCCACUCCAACAAACUGACCUUUGGGAUAUGUCAUGGGUGACCCUGAUGUCAACUCAUGACAUCCGCCACCUUUGUAGCGGCGACCGUAGUGGCAAAACAAACUCGUCCCAAAUGGGGACAUCAGUACCGUACAACUACGGGUAUAGAAGGUUAUGCUUGCCCAUCGGGCCAGGGUAGCGCAAACGCACAACGUUCCCUCAUUGGAGGCACGAGCAAGAGGCAUGACAAUAAACCGCAUUAGGGCCUCCCAUCCACACAUGCGUGGUUGCACUGGUGAGCUCGAUUCAGUGGCAUCAUGACUCGAUCAACAAAUUGUUCAAGUUGAAUUAUCAUCGGGUUUAACUUGAAAAUAAAAUGAUUUGAGUCAUAGCAUGAAGUGAGGUGCACAUGUCAUGAUGAAAAUGCAACCAUAUGCAUUAUGACAAUAUGAGCAUAAGCAACUAUUGCAUCAGUGUAACCAUGGUAUGGAUCAUAAGUACUAUAUGAUUAGCAUACUAGAAUGGCAUGAAAUGAGUGAAUCAUAUUUAGCAUAAUAUAAUUGGUUAUUUAAUAAUUAUGCAUAUGGAAUGGUAUUUUUAUUCAAAUAAACCAUUGCCAUUGCAAUGCCAUCCUUGGCAAUGAAUGUUGUGGCUUGCCUUAGUUGAGAGGAGUGUCACACUACUCCUGGUCCUCUUCAAGGGAAUUAUUUUCUUGUGAAAAUAAUUUAAAUAUAAAAGGGAAAUGUCACAUAAAGCAAUUUAUUACACCAGAAUUUCUACACAACAAGGAACAUUCUCAAAUUUUAUAGGCAGAAAGUUAGGUCAGUACAAAACUAAUGCAAAAAGUAUCAACACAAUUGGACUUAUGUUUUAAAAAUUACAGUUGGUCAAAGUCUGAUUAAAAUAUUUGAAUUUAAACAUCAACCAAAAAAUUCUAGAGGAGGCCACGUCGAAGGCGUAUUUUUGCUUGGCACCUCUACUUAUUCCGCUUCGGGUGAGAUAGGGAAAGAGAGAGAGGCUGAGUGCCAUUGUCAAAGUUAAAGAGAGAGAGAGAGAGAGAGAGAGAGAGAGAGAGAAAGUGGGAGUUCAGAGAGCGACUACUCUGUCACCGGUGGUUCUCCGGCGAGGAGCCCACAACGAUCACCGAAGAGAGAGGGAAUGGAUCCAGAAUGUCCUCACGGUCACUCACGUACCCAAAAGUCUAGGUGAGGUGGACGGACGAUGUCGGAAUGGAGCUCUCGAGAGAAGGCAUGCGACGAGCUCGCCGGAGUUGAGGAAGAAAGUGUUAAUCUGUUGAGCUAGAGGCUCCUUCGAGCUCAAGAGAUCACCAAGAGCUCGUAUGAGGAGGAGAGCAACGACGAAGAGCACCAGAGCGAGUGGGCAACCGUGGGGGAUCCGCGGCUAACUCAGAUUAGGGCUCGAUGCUUGAGCCCUCCCGGCAUAGCCCCGAGCUAUGGUAGUCGAUUCGUGGCUAAAUGAGGAGUUGUGGAUAACUAGAUUAACUCGGGAGCAUCUAUAUUUAUAGGGAAUGAAGUGACCGAGCUCGGGCACCGCCAGAAAAGAGCUACAUGAGUGAGGAGGCGGAGAGAGGGCUC